AUGGUCUGAAGGGUUUUGUGCGAGGCCUCUGCACGCAGCGUCCUGUGAACAAGUGAAACUUGGUGUUAUACCUUAUCACCUGGAUUCCGUCUUAUUUUUCCUGGAGGCCUCAGGGAGCUUCGCCUAUGACAAGAGAGAAACCAGGCUAUUUCCAUGUGUGACACCUGGAGAGGUGAGAGCGGAAGACAUUGUGCCUGUACCAUGCUGCCUGCAGGGGGCGCUGAGGAGUAUGUGUGCUCUACAGAAAAGGAGGACCUGUACCAGCUUCCUGCCGGGUCUCAGCAUUUCUUGGUUUUUAUUGAAUGAUUUGCUCUUGCCAGCUCCCUCUGCCUCUUCUGGUUUCCUCAGUCAUCACUGCGACUUUCUUAACCUUUCUGCUCCUGGUUUCUUUGCUCAUGUUAUCUUUUCUGUCCCCCGUCGUUUUUUGUUUUUUGUUUUUGGCUUCUUUGCUUUGCCCCAAUCCCUUCGAAGUGCUUCCUUCCUUUUCUCUAGGGAAUAACUCAUUCCCAAGGUUCUACGUUACCUUCCAGUUGUGGGUUCCUUGAACUCUGGGGUUCCCAAUUUCAUGACUGCCUCCUGUACAAAAUGUCUCUCAUUGCCACCAUGAAAAGUGCUCAUUUUUCUUAUUUCUGGGUUUGCUGAUGUUUGAGGUGCCAAAGUGCAACCUUUGAAUAAUUAAAGCCUUAUGUAGGCAGCUCUGGGGGACUUUUAUGGCUAAUAAAUUCUACGAAAUACUGUUAAUUUAA